UUUUAAAUUUAUUUUUUGGAAAACAAAGUUUGGGUCACUCUUUUUUAACUCCAUUAAUGACGGGAGUAAACUGGCAACGGAUAGGAAACGUCAUGUACUAAAUUAAUACAAAAAAUUUAAGUACUAAAGUGAUAAUUAAGUGUAACUUUGGGGGGCAAAUAGUAUAUUAACUCAUAAAAGAGUUUAAAUUCCUUGUAUAACAAUCAAAUGAAGAAAUUAAAUUUGACAUAUGCCUUUUAUCAAUUAUGGAAAAAGCUUGCCUUCCAAUUCAAUUUAACCAUUAUAAAAGUUGAGGAUUGAAAUUGUUAUUUUACUAAUUAAAAAAGUACCACUAAACAGUCAAGUGGUAAAAAAAUAAUUUUGAAUAAUUUAGUAAUCAAAUUAUAAUUUUUUUAAUUAAA
rnacentral:lncRNA from 1 species